rnacentral:tRNA from 1 species
AACGAGUUAGUAUAAUUAAUACCACCGAUUUAGAAUCGGUAAAAAAGACCUAAUACCCUUACCCGUUA